GCUGACGGGAGGGAGAGCGGCCUGGGGCGAGGUUGUGUGUGCGGUGCCGUGGCGUGGAGUGGCGUGGAAGGCGCGUGUGGGCCGAGUGUGCGUGGGUGCGCGAAUGUGUGCGUGUGCGCGCGUGGGGCGUGCUAGGCGAGUGUGCGCGCCCGCCCCUGCGCCCCUCCCCCCGCCUACACCUUGAUCUUAUUUGAUCGGGUGGUGGCCCCAGCCGCGCCGGGCAGGCCCGAAAUGAAAAGCUCUCCUCCUGCGAAGCCCCCUCUUCGGGGCGCUGUGCAGCGAGGCCCCUUGGGCGGCGGCAGCGCCGCGGUCUCCGAGGUCCCGGAGCGGGGCCUGCGGGGCCCGGCGCUCAGAAGUGAUGAAUUGAUCAGAUAGACGAGGCCGGGCUUGUCCCGGGCCGCUGAUUAUCGAGGCGAUUCUGAUCUGA
rnacentral:snoRNA from 1 species